CGUUGCUUCGAUUCGUGGGUAUCCAGUCCGAUCUCCGGCUUCCGGCCUUCGUUCACGCAAGAAUUUAGAUCUCGCUUCUGGAUCCCUUCUGAACCUGUUCGGAUCGAUCCUUUUCUGGAGAUUUGCCUUCCGUUCUGGGUUUAGAAUCUGGUUGCUGCUUGCAUGGGAGAUGGUGGCGCCAUGGCUAUCGAAGUCAUGAAGAUUGAGCAGAGUUGUGUGGAGAACAAGCAACCAGGGGUUGCUUUGAGUUCAUCCAUGUCUGAAGGAAGUUAUGGGUUUUCUGGGAUGUCUCCGUCUGUUUGUAGCUC